AACGAACGCUGGCGGCGCGCCUAAUACAUGCAAGUCGAGCGAGAAGGUGUAGCAAUACACUUGUAAAGCGGCGAACGGGUGAGGAAUGCAUGGGUAACCUACCCUCGAGUGGGGAAUAACUAGCCGAAAGGUUAGCUAAUACCGCAUACGUUUCCGGAACUUCGGUUUCGGAAAGAAAGCAAUACCGUGGGUAUUGCGCUCCUGGAUGGGCUCAUGUCCUAUCAGCUUGUUGGUGAGGUAACGGCUCACCAAGGCUUCGACGGGUAGCUGGUCUGAGAGGACGAUCAGCCACACUGGCACUGCGACACGGGCCAGACUCCUACGGGAGGCAGCAGUAAGGAAUAUUGCGCAAUGGACGAAAGUCUGACGCAGCGACGCCGCGUGGGGGAUGAAGGUCUUCGGAUUGUAAACCCCUUUCGGGAGGGAAGAUGGAGUGGGUAACCACUUGGACGGUACCUCCACGAAGCAGCCACGGCUAACUUCGUGCCAGCAGCCGCGGUAA
rnacentral:rRNA from 1 species